AUGGUGAUCCCUCCACCAGACAGGGCAGCUAGAAUUGUCAGUUUUCUCAAGCCCAACCUUUUGAGGAUGGAUUUCUCGAACAAGUUUGUGACCGCCCAGGUGAUCCACACCCCAACAACAACCGUCCCGUGUUCUGCGAGCUCACAGGAGAAGCUGCUGAGAUCGCACAUGUAG
rnacentral:rRNA from 1 species